CGUGUAGGCGGGUCUUUAAGUCAGGGGUGAAAUGCCAAGGCUCAACCUUGGAACUGCCUUUGAUACUGGAGAUCUUGAGUCCGGGAGAGGUGAGUGGAAUUGCGAGUGUAGAGGUGAAACUCGUAGAUAUUCGCAAGAACACCAGUGGCGAAGGCGGCUCACUGGCCCGGAACUGACGCUGAGACGCGAAAGCGUGGGAGCAAACA
rnacentral:rRNA from 1 species